rnacentral:rRNA from 1 species
GGGUUGUGAGGUUAAGCGACUAAGCGUACACGGUGGAUGCCCUGGCAGUCAGAGGCGAUGAAGGACGUGCUAAUCUGCGAUAAGCGUCGGUAAGGUGAUAUGAACCGUUAUAACCGGCGAUUUCCGAAUGGGGAAACCCAGUGUGAUUCGUCACACUAUCAUUAACUGAAUCCAUAGGUUAAUGAGGCGAACCGGGGGAACUGAAACAUCUAAGUACCCCGAGGAAAAGAAAUCAACCGAGAUUCCCCCAGUAGCGGCGAGCGAACGGGGAGCAGCCCAGAGCCUGAAUCAGUGUGUGUGUUAGUGGAAGCGUCUGGAAAGGCGCGCGAUACAGGGUGACAGCCCCGUACACAAAAAUGCACAUAUUGUGAGCUCGAUGAGUAGGGCGGGACACGUGGUAUCCUG